GUCCAAGACUAGGCGGAUUCGUUCUCUUCUCCUAUUCGGCUAUUCCAGUAAACGUUCAUUGUUUAAACAAUAGAAAAAUGGUAUGGUUCGACGGCGUCAAAACUGGCUGCUGUUGAUGGGGCUAUUGCUAUAUAUAUUUUAUCUGAAUCAUCUGCUUGUGAUCUCGCCACACAGCUAUGAAACUUCGGGGGAGAGAACUUAGAAACCUCACCGCCGCAGGGAGUCGGACCCAGAUUCGGCUUGCUAUAACCCGAACUAGCGAUCAGCCUCUCUCUGUCGCAAUGGGUAAGCAAAAGCGAAGCAAAAUCCUUUCAAGUUCUUUUCAGCUUCACCAAUCUCAAACUUCCCCUGAACCCACCUCCGUUGACAUUUCCGAAAGCAUUUCAUCCUCCUCUAAAAUCCCAUUUCGACCCAGAAAAGUGAGAAAACUAUCGUCCAAUGCCAGAAAACCCCCGCAGCCUCCGGUCCUCGAUUCGGACUCCUCCAAACCCAGCAAAACAAACCCAUCUCAGCUCCCUAUCCUCUUGCCCAAAACCGUAAAGACCGUGAAGCCAUUGUCGUUUGAAGGCGAAAUUGAUGCUGCUCUUAACCAUUUGCGCAAAGCCGAUCCACUCCUUAUGAUCCCAAUCGAUUCGUAUCAGCCUCCGGCUUUUGAUUCUCCCGGACCUCCAUUCUUGACCCUGGCCAAAAGCAUUCUAUACCAGCAACUCGCGACCAACGCCGCCAAAUCAAUCUACAACCGCUUCGUCUCGCUUUGUGGUGGCGAGGCUGAGGUUGUCCCCGAAACCAUCCUCAGUCUCAACCCUAAUCAGCUCCGAGAAGUCGGAAUCUCCGGGCGGAAAGCGAGCUACCUUCACGACUUAGCGGACAAGUUCAAGAGUGGGAUUUUAUCGGACUCCUCGAUUCUCGAAAUGGACGACGAGUCCCUGCUAACGAAGCUCACCUUGGUUAAGGGAAUAGGGGCUUGGUCAGUGCACAUGUUCAUGAUAUUCUCGCUGCAGAGGCCGGAUGUUCUACCGGUCGGCGAUCUCGGCGUGAGGAAAGGUGUGCAACUUUUGUAUGGGCUAAAGGAAUUGCCCCGGCCUCUGGACAUGGAGCAGAUUUGUGAGAAGUGGAAGCCUUAUAGGUCUGUUGGCUCGUGGUAUAUGUGGAGGUGUAUGGAAGCCAAAGGAGCAAAAGCUACGUCUAAGGUGGCAGCAACGGCAGUGGUAGAUGCUACUCCACCGGAGUAGCAGCAAUAAAUCCAAAAGACCGCAUUUGCUGUGGCCAUAGGUUAGGAUUUUGAGAGCUCAAGAAAAUUAAAGGAUCUUAUCAGUAGCUCUUGUGCAUUGCAAUAAUUGAUUUCAUACACUUCUUGUCUGUUAUGUUCUAUUAAUGAAUGGAAGUUAGUGAAAAAAAUAAUGUGCAAGUUUGUGAGGUGAGGCUUCCUAGUGCUGUUAGGUUCCAAUUGUAUCCUUAAACUAGGCUUUUUUGUUGUUAAUUCUAGAGGGGUUGGCGUCAUGUGAAUUACCCCAUGGAUUCACCUCUUGCUAUCUCUGAUGACAUGGCUGUGUGUGGUGAAGUCUGCAUUUUUCAGUGUUUGGGUUUUGACCUUUCUGCAGGAAUAGAACUCAGCGAAGGGCAUCAUAAACCUGCGUAACUAGAAUUCAUCUAAGGGAAGUCAAGUAGAGUGGGUAAAGCACAGGAGGGGACUCGUAUGAGCUGCAAAACCAGAUACACAUUCUCGAGUUGCAGUAUCUCUUUCAUCUGUCAAACUUGCCGUUUCUUCCUUUGUAACCAAUUCUAGUUUCACACUUGGGCAUUAUAUAGACUUGGUCAUCCUUCUAAUUGUAGAUAGCAUCUUUCAUGAAUUUCUACCUGGUAUGACAGGAUCUAAAACUACUCAUCCUUGUACUGAAUGUUCUUUUGCUUUUGCUAAGCAAAAGAGAUUGUCUUUUUUUUUUUUUUUUUUUUUUGCCCUAAUAAUAAUGAUUCUCAAUACCUCUCCCUCUGGUGGAAGUGGGAUUAGUGUUAGAUUGCUCAUGUACUUUAUAUAUUGAAUUGGGCUUUAUAGAUAAAGAGAAAUGAUUGUUGGCCCUUUAGAAAGUA